rnacentral:rRNA from 1 species
UCGGGAAUUUUGGGCAAUGGGGGAAACCCUGACCCAGCAACGCCGCGUGAAGGAUGAAGUAUUUCGGUAUGUAAACUUCGAAAGAAUAGGAAGAAUAAAUGACGGUACUAUUUAUAGGGUCCGGCUAACUACGUGCCAGCAGCCGCGGUAAUACGUAGGGACCAAGCGUUGUUCGGAUUUACUGGGCGUAAAGGGCGCGUAGGCGGCAUGACAAGUCACUUGUGAAAUCUCUGGGCUUAACCCAGAACGGCCAAGUGAUACUGUCGCGCUAGAGUGCAGAAGGGGCAGUCGGAAUUCUUGGUGUAGCGGUGAAAUGCGUAGAUAUCAAGAGGAACACCUGAGGUGAAGACGGGUUGCUGGGCUGACACUGACGCUGAGGCGCGAAAGCCAGGGGAGCAAACGGGAUUAGAUACCCCAGUAGUCCCUGAGCGGGCUGGCAAGGCGCAU